rfam:Clostridium sp. CAG:510 genomic scaffold, scf106
AUGAUUUCAGGGAAUGAAGUUCUCCCUUGGGAAACCUAAACCGCUUAGUAAGCUGAUGACUUCUGUGAUGCA